rnacentral:rRNA from 1 species
AUGGCUGCGGCCAGCUUCCUCCUAAGCCCCAGGGUGACGCUGCCCCUGCGCCGAGGAUCCCGCCUCCUCGUGUCCUGCUCCGCCACUUCGUCAUCCUCCUCGUCAGAUGCUGCUGGAGGGGUGGGAUUCCAGGGAAGGGUGGGGUUCUUGGGCCUCGGGAUCAUGGGCGCCCCCAUGGCAUCAAACCUCAUAAAGGCUGGUUGUGAUAUUACAGUUUGGAACAGAACCAAGAGCAAGUGUGAUCCUCUUCUCAGCCUCGGUGCCAAGUUCGAAUCUUCACCCGCCAGAGUUGCAUCAUCUUGUGAUGUCACCUUUGCAAUGCUUGCUGACCCAGAAAGCGCGUUUGAGGUUGCAUGCGGCGCUAAUGGAGCCGCAGAAGGGAUGGCCGCAGGGAAAGGGUAUGUCGAUGUGUCGACAGUCGAUGAUGCAACAUCUAAGCUAAUCGGCAAACGUAUUACAAGUACUGGGGCAUCUUUUCUCGAGGCUCCAGUUUCAGGCUCAAAAAAGCCAGCAGAAGAUGGACUGCUGAUCUUUCUUACUGCAGGUGAUGAAUCCUUGUACAAGAGAGUGGCACCCCUACUUGAUGUCAUGGGCAAGUCAAGAUUUUAUCUUGGGGAUGUCGGGAAUGGCGCAGCAAUGAAGCUCGUGGUUAAUAUGGUGAUGGGGAGCAUGAUGGUCUCAUUUGCAGAAGGGCUACUCCUGAGUGAAAAAGUGGGGUUAGACUCGAAUACUGUCGUCGAGGUUAUUUCACAAGGUGCUAUCAAUGCUCCCAUGUUCUCCCUCAAGGGCCCUUCCAUGGUUAAAGCUGCAUACCCUACUGCCUUUCCCCUGAAACAUCAGCAGAAGGAUCUAAGGCUGGCGCUGGCCCUGGCAGAAUCGGUGUCCCAGCCCAUUCCUACAGCUGCAGCUGCAAACGAGCUGUACAAGGUAGCAAAAUCGCUGGGCCUCGCCGACCACGACUUCUCCGCAGUCAUUGAGGCGCUCAAGGCCAAAGUGCAGAGCUCGCAGCACUAG